GAUGAACGCUAGCGGCAGGCCUAACACAUGCAAGUCGAGGGGUAGAGGAAGCUUGCUUCCUUGAGACCGGCGCACGGGUGCGUAACGCGUAUGCAAUCUACCUUGUACAGAGGGAUAGCCCAGAGAAAUUUGGAUUAAUACCUCAUAGUAUUAUUGAAUGGCAUCAUUUACUAAUUAAAGUUCCAACGGUACAAGAUGAGCAUGCGUCCUAUUAGCUAGUUGGUGUGGUAACGGCAUACCAAGGCUACGAUAGGUAGGGGUCCUGAGAGGGAGCCCCCCCACACUGGUACUGAGACACGGACCAGGCUCCUACGGGAGGCAGCAGUGGGGAAUAUUGGACGAUGGGCGCAAGCCUGAUCCAGCCAUGCCGCGUGCAGGAAGACGCAUCUAUGGUGUGUAAACUGCUUUUGUACGGGAAGAAACACUCCCUCGUGAGGGAGCUUGACGGUACCGUAAGAAUAAGGAUCGGCUAACUCCGUGCCAGCCGCCGCCGUAACAC
rnacentral:rRNA from 1 species